rnacentral:rRNA from 1 species
CCUACGGGCGGCAGCAGUGAGGAAUAUUGGUCAAUGGGCGCGGUCCUGAACCAGCCAAGUAGCGUGAAGGAUGACUGCCCUACGGGUUGUAAACUUCUUUUAUAAAGGAAUAAAGUGAGGCACGUGUGCCUCUUUGUAUGUACUUUAUGAAUAAGGACCGGCUAACUCCGUGCCAGCAGCCGCGGUAAUACGGAGGGUCCGAGCGUUAUCCGGAUUUAUUGGGUUUAAAGGGAGCGUAGAUGGGUUGUUAAGUCAGUUGUGAAAUUUUGCGGCUCAACCGUAAAAUUGCAAUUGAUACUGGCAGUCUUGAGUGUAGUUGAGGUAGGCGGAAUACGUGGUGUAGCGGUGAAAUGCUUAGAUAUCACGAAGAACUCCGAUUGCGAAGGCAGCUUACUAAGCUGCAACUGACGUUGAUGCUCGAAAGUGUGGGUAGCAAACAGGAUUAGAUACCCUAGUAGUC